rnacentral:rRNA from 1 species
CUCUUCUUGUUAUUAAUUUGAAGUAUAACCUGCCCACUGAUAAUUUAUUGAAGGGCCGCGGUAUUUUGACCGUGCAAAGGUAGCAUAAUCAUUAGUCUUUUAAUUGGGGACUGGAAUGAAUGGUUGGACGAGGAAUAAACUGUUUCUUGAAAAUAUAUUUGAAUUUAUAUUUUAAGUAAAAAUACUUAAAUUUAUUUAUGGGACGAGAAGACCCUAUAGAGUUUAAUAAAUUUUAUUAUUUAUAAUGUUAGUUAAAUUUAUUGAUUUUUUAAUAUUUAUUUUGUUGGGGUGAUGGGAAGAAUUAAUAAACUCUUUUUUAAUUUAUAUAUUUAUAUAUAAUUAUUUGAUCCAUUUUUGUUGAUUAUAAGACUAAAUUACCUUAGGGAUAACAGCGUAA